rnacentral:rRNA from 1 species
AUAGUUGUCUAGCAAUAGAUGAUUAUGAGACCGGCAAACGGGUGCGGAACACGUACGCAACCUUCCCAAAACUGGUGAAUAGCCCUCCGAAAGGAGGAUUAAUGCACCGUAACAUAAUGAAGUGGCAUCACUUUAUUAUUAUAGCUCCGGCGGUUUUGGAUGGGCGUGCGCCUGAUUAGGUAGUUGGUGAGGGUAACGGCCCACCAAGCCUUCGAUCAGUAACUGGUGUGAGAGCACGACCAGUCACACGGGCACUGAGACACGGGCCCGACUCCUACGGGAGGCAGCAGUAAGGAAUAUUGGUCAAUGGACGCAAGUCUGAACCAGCCAUGCCGCGUGAAGGAUGACGGCCCUCUGGGUUGUAAACUUCUUUUAUCUGGGACAAAAAAAGGGCUUUCUAGCUCGACUGACGGUACCAGAGGAAUAAGCACCGGCUAACUCCGUGCCAGCAGCCGCGGUAAUACGGAGGGUGCAAGCGUUAUCCGGAUUUACUGGGUUUAAAGGGUGCGUAGGUGGGUCUGUAAGUCAGUGGUGAAAUCUCCGAGCUUAACUCGGAAACUGCCAUUGAUACUAUAGAUCUUGAAUUAUCUGGAGGUAAGCGGAAUAUGUCAUGUAGCGGUGAAAUGCUUAGAUAUG